AGCCUUUCUUUGGACUUCAGGAACAGAAAGCGUACGAUUUUGGAAAGGUAUACACCAUGGCACAGCAACAACAAUAGUCGUUGAACAGAAACCUAGGACAACAUAAAUUAACUGAGCCAUUACAGUAGCAUCAUAACUACCUGUACUGAACGCAACAUCUUGAUAUUUAGUGAUAUAAUGUAAAACCAGCCACCCUGGGAACAAGUGCAUCAAGGAAACUAUGGUCAUAAAGUUCUUUUUUGAACGUCGGGACCACAUAAGAGAAACUAAGCUUAAAUUGAU
rnacentral:misc_RNA from 1 species